rnacentral:rRNA from 1 species
AGUGAACGCUGGCGGUAGGCCUAACACAUGCAAGUCGAACGGCAGCACAGUAAGAGCUUGCUCUUACGGGUGGCGAGUGGCGGACGGGUGAGGAAUACAUCGGAAUCUACUUUUUCGUGGGGGAUAACGUAGGGAAACUUACGCUAAUACCGCAUACGACCUACGGGUGAAAGCAGGGGAUCUUCGGACCUUGCGCGAUUGAAUGAGCCGAUGUCGGAUUAGCUAGUUGGCGGGGUAAAGGCCCACCAAGGCGACGAUCCGUAGCUGGUCUGUGAGGAUGAUCAGCCACACUGGAACUGAGACACGGUCCAGACUCCUACGGGAGGCAGCAGUGGGGAAUAUUGGACAAAGGGCGCAAGCCUGAUCCAGCCAUACCGCGUGGGUGAAGAAGGCCUUCGGGUUGUAAAGCCCUUUUGUUGGGAAAGAAAAGCAGCAGGUUAAUACCCCGCUGUUCUGACGGUACCCAAAGAAUAAGCACCGGCUAACUUCGUG